UCUCUAUAAAGGGAGGUAAAUGUCACAUUGAAAUUCAUCAUUGUAUAUAUUUAGUUUCGUAUUUUAACUUUACCACAUAUCCCGUGGUUAGCCCCUUAGUGUUUUAGGCAUACGUAUUUGUAAAAACCCAUAUUGAACCUCAGUUCACCGGGCCUUAAACCCGCCAGUCCGUGCAGUAUCAGUUUGGACGCGGCAGUCCAGAGGGAAGGACGUUCUUAUACUUCUCUCGUGCAUACCAUCCAGUCACUAUGUAUUUUGUUAAUUGAAAUAGCUGUGUGCUAACUCUGAAGUGAACCUGGUACUGGCUUUUUCUGAGGUCCCUUGUUCCAUCUAUUGUGUAAACCACUUUCAUCGAUGGUGGCCGAAUAUUGGUGACGUCUUAUGUAGACUAAGUGGCCAGUAGAGAACAUUGUCCCUUGGAGGACCUCACCAGUCCAUUCUUGUCAAGACCAAGUGGCAAUAGACAACAGUGGAGGACCUUACCAGUUCCCAUACUAGGACAAUUACUUUCUAUAUGUAUUGAUUCAAACUAUAUUAAAUAUGUAAAAA